rnacentral:rRNA from 1 species
CACCCGCAGCUCGAGUGGUGGUCACUUUUAUUGAGCCUAAAGCGUUUGUAGCCGGUUUUGCAAAUCUUCAGAUAAAUUCCUCUGCUUAACAGAUGAUCUUCUGAAGAGACUGCGAGACUUGGGACCGGGUGAGGUUGAAGGUACUUCCGGGGUAGGGGUAAAAUCCUGUAAUCCUGGAAGGACGACCGGUGGCGAAGGCGUUCAACUAGAACGGAUCCGACGGUGAGGAACGAGGGCUAGGGUAGCAAACAGG